rnacentral:tRNA from 16 species
GUGGUUGUAGCUCAGCUGGUUAGAGCGCUGGAUUGUGGUUCCAGAGGUCGCCGGUUCGAACCCGGUCUUCCACCCA